rnacentral:lncRNA from 1 species
ACAAACACAUCCAGGACAAACACAACCAGGACAAACACAUCCAGGACAAACACACCAGGACAAACACAUCCAGGACAAACACAUCCAGGACAAACACAUCCAGGACAAACACAACCAGGACAAACACAUCCAGGACAAACACAACCAGGACAAACACAUCCAGGACAAACACACCCAGGACAAACACAUCCAGGACAAACACAACCAGGACAAACACAUCCAGGACAAACACAACCAGGACAAACACACCCUUACCCUGGCCAACCUGUAGACACCCUGGGCGAGAGUUCAGAAUGUCUAACAGGUUGCUGCUGCGACUGUGACGAAACUUCAGAUAGCAAAGAGAGAAUUAAAAACAAAAACAAAGAAUCUGGAGACAGCGAUGAUGUUGAUGAUGAUGAUAAUGAUGAUGAUGAUGAUGACAGGCUGAGAUACCAAGGAGGACGGGAGGUGCUGCCGUACAGUGUCGGAAGUGGGCACAAUGAAAGGACGCCGAUCGUGUUGGUGGUGGGUGAUCACAACAAGGGCAACCUGAACUGGCUGAAAAAGAUCCUGCAAGAUGGAAAGAAGAAAUAAUAUUGGAACUAUUCUUGAAAUCCUCAGCGAUACUGAAGCGCCUCUCACGAGAUUCUUGAGACCAUUUUACGUGACUUUUGCCGUCCAUUUUAGGAGAGUAAUAAAGUUCUUUUAGGGGAUUUUUUUGGGGGGAGAUCUGUUAGAGAUCUUUGCCAUCCAAUUUCUGGGAUCUUUCACAUGCUCGUCAGAAUUUCGAUAUCUUCUCAGAGAGUUUUUAAUGCCAACCGAGGAACUUGUUGACUUCAGGGGGUUCUUGAAUACCUUUCAAAGGCUUCAUGCAGCUGUCCCUAAGAACUCUAAACCAUGUCUUUAUUGAUGAAUUCUGGCGGUGCUCUGAGAGCAUUUUGGUCUUCCCAAGAGGAUUUUAGAUUCACACCAUAAACAAAACACCAUCCUGUGUUCCUUUCCACUAAGCAAUCAGACGCUUCAGAAACUACGCCAGCCGUCUACCAAUAGUGGCGUUCAUUUUUUCUUUCAUGGUACGAGCAUUACAGAGUACAGUAUUUAGGUAAACUGUUUUAGUAAUUUCAAGCACUGCACCCAAGGUGCUCUUAUAAUCCAUUGAGGGAACUCUAGCCGUCCUGGAUAUCUUCUGAAGGCUUCGUUGCACAUUCUUCUGAGUUGCUGUGGGGUUCCUCUUAGUGGGCUAUAACCUUCUUUUCCCUUGAGGUCUGGUGUUCCUUUCAGGAAUGUAAACAUUACCUGAUGGACGUGUGAUAGAUGAUACCAGAAGAAAUUUGGCCUUCCUGACAAGAGCACUUAAUGAUGUACUAUACCGUAGGACUGUUGUUGAAUAACUAACAAUGGACUUGCACAGGUUCUGCUGGGAAGGUUCGACAGGACAGGUCCCGGGAAUUGUGAUGUGCUCCUGUUACAUCAUGAAUGAUAUGCUUUAUAAAAUCUUUCGUCUACAUAGUUGUGAUUGUUCGAAAGGUAUUUAGUAAAGAUACUCUGAAAGCUAUUAAGAUGAAUUCCAUAAAAAAAAAUGCUCAAUAAAAUAAUGGUGCUUUCCUGUAGCUGUCACGUUAUCCAAGCUUUCAUACAAUAUGAUAUUAAUCUUUUUUUUUUGUAUGUUAGUUCACUUGCCCAUUACCAUGAGAAAAUCUUUUGAGAGCUUGCAAACGAGUGCUGAAAGAAACCACCAAUACUGCUGUAACAUGUAAGAUCAGUAACUUUUCUCAGAAGAGGUAACUGCUCAUCCACAAGCAGUCAUGGAUCAGAGGCUCCCCCGUGUAGUAGUGGACUCUGCUCACCUAAGUCUAUAUCAGUUGUCCUCACAUUAACCUCAAUAUUUUCAGAAACUUUUUGUCAAUACUCUUUCUCUUCGGUAACCGUGAUUUGCUAUACAGUGAUAUUUGUAUUAGUGAGGUUAGCUGCCAUACAGAGGUGAGAGGUGAUCCAACAACCAGCCCUGCCAAAUACUAACCCAGAAAUUGUUGCAUUGCGGUUGACAGUGGUGUUGGUAUGGAUUGAAAGAGACGUGGUGAGAUGCAGGCGGUGGUGUAGGUGCAUAUGGGCAUUAUUUUUUUAUUUAUGUGGUUAUCGGUGGCAGUGGUGUUAUUUUGUACCUGUAAGCUGCCCUCGAAAUAUCGCCAGUAUUAAGAUUUUGAUCCUAGAACAUAGGUAUUAGUGUUAGCGUGUCCAAAUUAGUCUUACUCCAAACUCUAGAGAAGAUUCAGAAUAUAAAGAAUAUCAUGGAAUACAGUGGGCAUACCCCUGGCGAUAUUUACAGAGCAAUUCCUUAAACCCCAACGCUCAUAUAAAGACUGCGACCCAAACAUUCCCUGUGAUGUACUCGUUUUUAUAUUCUUAGGUUUUUGUUAAUAGAUUUAUUACAAUUACGUUUUUUCCUGGUUGUGACGUUACUGUUAAAGGAGCUGCGCGCGUAUCGUCUUAACAUUGUGUUUCUGACGUUUUUGGAACUCUGUUGUUCCACCUGUUCCUUGUUCAGAGCACUCUUAGAUGACGCCAGCUUCACGCCUAAUCAAGAGCUUUUCCACAUGAGAGCUACUAACAUGAUUGAGUUAAAUAGGAUUAUAUUUACAUGCUAACAUUUUAACAAAGAAUGUGCACGAUACAUUGUUAUUCUAUGAGAUUUCCAGCUACCAGUAGUGCCAUAACCAAAGCACAACUUGACCAACGAUAUAAUGCCGUGCAGAUUUGCCGUUCUGGGCCGUGAUUCUCAAGCGUGUAUCUGUUAAAAGUGUUCCUUGUAUUUCAGAUAUCUUAAGAACAACUCACUUGAACUAUGUCACAAAUUACCAGGUGAAAUGGUAUGGAGAUUGUAUUAAAACAUUUCUGUAACAAAAUGCUCUUUCUUAUCUCCAAUUACGGGGGAACAACUUACAGAUCUUUGAGAUAACGGAGCCAGGUACGAAACUUAACAGUACUGCUCGAUGUUGCUUGUCACUGGGGUGUAGAGACAGCCAGUUGUGGUAUCUGAAAUAAAAAAAAAGUGACGAA